GACGAACGCUGGCGGCGUGCUUAACACAUGCAAGUCGAACGGAAAGGCCCUGCUUUUGUGGGGUGCUCGAGUGGCGAACGGGUGAGUAACGCGAGAGUAACCUGCCCUUGACUUUGGGAUAACUUCAGGAAACUGGGGCUAAUACCGGAUAGGAGCUCCUGCUGCUUGGUGGGGGUUGGAAAGUUUCGGCGGUUGGGGAUGGACUCGCGGGUUAUCAGCUUGUUGGUGGGGUAGUGGCUUACCAAGGCUUUUACGGGUAGGCGGCCUGAGAGGGUGACCGGGCACAUUGGGACUGAGAUACGGCCCAGACUCCUGCGGGGGACAGUGGUGGGGAAUCUUGCACAAUGGGCGGAAGCCUGAUGCAGCAGCGCCGCGUGCGGGAUGUCGGCCUUUGGGUUGUAAACCGCUUUCGCCUGUGACGAAGCGUUGGUGACGGUAAUGGGUAAAGAAGCACCGGCUAACUACGUG
rnacentral:rRNA from 1 species